CGAGCGGAGAAUGCGAGAUGUUUACAUUGAGUAUUCUUAGCGGCGGACGGGUGAGUAACACGUGGGUAACCUGCCUCAGAGUGGGGGAUAGCCUUUCGAAAGGAAGAUUAAUACCGCAUAAGCUUGUAGCAUCGCAUGGUGCAGCAAGAAAAGGAGCAAUCCGCUCUGAGAUGGACCCGCGGCGCAUUAGCUAGUUGGUGAGGUAACGGCUCACCAAGGCCACGAUGCGUAGCCGACCUGAGAGGGUGAUCGGCCACAUUGGAACUGAGACACGGUCCAGACUCCUACGGGAGGCAGCAGUGGGGAAUAUUGCACAAUGGGCGAAAGCCUGAUGCAGCAACGCCGCGUGAGUGAUGAAGGCUUUCGAGUCGUAAAGCUCUUUGAUCAGGGAUGAUAAUGACAGUACCUGAAAAACAAGCCACGGCUAACUACGUGCCAGCAGCCGCGGUAAUACGUAGGUGGCGAGCGUUGUCCGGAAUUACUGGGCGUAAAGGAUGCGUAGGUGGAUAUUUAAGUGGGAUGUGAAAUCCCCGGGCUCAACCCGGGAACUGCAUUCCAAACUGGAUAUCUAGAGUGCAGGAGAGGAAAGCGGAAUUCCUAGUGUAGCGGUGAAAUGCGUAGAUAUUAGGAGGAACACCAGUGGCGAAGGCGGCUUUCUGGACUGUAACUGACACUGAGGCAUGAAAGCGUGGGUAGCAAACAGGAUUAGAUACCCUGGUAGUCCACGCCGUAAACGAUGGGUACUAGGUGUAGGAGGUAUCGACCCCUUCUGUGCCGUCGUUAACACAAUAAGUACCCCGCCUGGGGAGUACGGUCGCAAGACUAAAACUCAAAGGAAUUGACGGGGGCCCGCACAAGCAGCGGAGCAUGUGGUUUA
rnacentral:rRNA from 1 species